AAAUACGACGACUUGCAUUCGAGCAGUCUCUUUUCCUCGUACGAGAAACUUGGAUAGACUUCCUCUGAUCCUGCGUGGGAAGGAAUAGUAACAGAUUUCUAAUACGGGUUUUUAGCUGUAUUCAUCGUGCUAUUUUUGUUGAGGAUAUUGUCACAACCGUAGAGUACAAUGAGGUAAUUAGGUUUUAGAGAAGGAGCCGCUCGGUAAUUCUUGUUUAAGCGAAAGCCUGCAGCGUGCGUAGAAUACUUUAUUUUUUUAUAAGUCUGCUAGAGAGGCCCUUAUCGUUAUAAUCAUCGUAACCGCAAACCUAAGAAAAAAAAAAUCGAAUACCGAGGUAGGUCACGACUGAAAACCGGCUACAUCAGGUAGGGCAAGACUGCAUAACUGAAACGGCUACAUCAGGCAAACCUCGUGGAAGCCUGUGGGUGCUGGUGUUUAUGGAAUAGAACAGCGGUUUGAAAUUUAAGUAGGA